AUGCGGCACUUGGCUGCUGAGCUUGACCUUGGGCUGGAGUUGGAAUUGUUGUCUCAGAAUGGGGUGGAGGGUGAGCUGCACUGUCAUUGGGUGGCUCACUUGGAAGUUGAGGGAGCAUCAUGGGCUGGGUUGGAGAAAGUUCCACCUCUUCAGGAGGAUCUGGAGGAGGAGAUGCAGCUGGUGGCAGUGCAGGAGAUGGUUCUUCCUCCUCUGCAGGCUGAGGUGAUGUCCUCUGCUGAGCUUGAGAAGGUUCCAUUUUGUGACCUUGGGCUGGAGUUGGAAUUGUUGUCUCAGAAUGGGGAGGGUGAGCUGCACUGUCAUUGGGUGGCUCACUUGGAAGCUGAGGGAGCAUCAUGGGCUGGGUUGGAGAAAGUUCCACCUCUUCAGGAGGAUCUGGAGGAGGAGAUGCAGCUGGUGGCAGUGCAGGAGAUGGUUCUUCCUCCUCUGCAGGCUGAGGUGAUGUCCUCUGCUGAGCUUGAGAAGGUUCCAUUUUGUUGGGUGGCUCUGAAAGUAGAGCUGCAUCCUCCUCCUAGGGGACUGAAAAUGGUUCUGUGUCCUCAGGUGGCUCUGAAGGCUGGGGAAAAUGCUACUCUUUCUGUCAACAAAAGAGAAAGAGUAACCUUCUCAGGGAGUACUGAAGACAGAGCUGCAAGCUUUUGCUGCACUGGUGAAACUGCUACACCAGAGGAGCCUGGGGGCAUAGGAAAUAAGGCCAGGACCAGAGCCUGCCAAUUCUGAUGCUUGGGACCCGGGCGUGUCCCUUCCUCAGGGUGUGUUAAAAGCAGGUACAGUUUAGCACACUGGUUUGGUAUGUGUGGUUUAACUUCACUUGCAGAAUGCACCAUGAGAGCACAAAGGAAAGCGUGUAUCUUGUGCUCACCCGAACCGGG
rnacentral:lncRNA from 1 species